UACGUAGGGACCAAGCGUUGUUCGGAUUUACUGGGCGUAAAGGGCGCGUAGGCGGCGUGUUAAGUCACUUGUGAAAUCUCUGAGCUUAACUCAGAACGGUCAAGUGAUACUGAUGUGCUAGAGUGCAGAAGGGGCAACCGGAAUUCUUGGUGUAGCGGUGAAAUGCGUAGAUAUCAAGAGGAACACCUGAGGUGAAGACGGGUUGCUGGGCUGACCCUGACGCUGAGGCGCGAAAGCUAGGGUAGCAAACGGG
rnacentral:rRNA from 1 species